UUUCUUACGUUCUUUUUUUCAAACAAGAGAAGAGAAAUCAUGAAUUACAACAAAACAAGUUUCCAGGGACAAAAGACACAAUGAAGUGCAGUGCAAAAAUAGAUAAUGAUUUUGAGCUUAACAUCGCAUUUCAUUGCAAAGAUAGACAUUUCUUCAGCUUAACAACAAAAACGUUUCCACCUAAUCAUGAGACACGCAAGGUAAACAUAUUUCAUGUGAAUUCCCAGCCCGUAAAGUAAGAGAAAAGAAUCAACCUUGAAUGGAUAAAAACUUUCCAUGCUAUAGGAGGCAGGCAGGCAGAGUACACAAAUAAAAUGGCCAUAGCAUGUAUGUAUUAUAGUGAUUACCUACUGAAUGUAAUAAAGGCCACAAUUACAAAUGAUCUGGCAUUGAUUAGAGUGAAUCAAAUCUUAACAGAGCAAUACUUAACAACAUAACCUUGCUUACGCAACAGGGUUGUAGUACCACUAAUGAAUCUAUACACCAAGUUCAAGACCAUCAACCCUGUAUUAAUAAAAAAAAACAAGAAAUAAACCAGAAAACAAAAGGUACCCCAUUAACAAGAACACAUUUUUAGACAAAACCCUCCGAUCAAUUAAUUUGAUGAAGUUACAUUUACCAAGUUCAAGACCAACCC
rnacentral:lncRNA from 1 species